rnacentral:rRNA from 1 species
AAUUGGAGGGCAAGUCUGGUGCCAGCAGCCGCGGUAAUUCCGGCUCCAAUAGCGUAUAUUAAAGUUGUUGCAGUUAAAAAGCUCGUAGUUGAAUUUCGGGAUCAAUAUUUCGGUCAUGCCGUUGGUAUGCACUGUUAUCAUUGAUUUCUCACCUUCUAAAGAACCGUAAUGCCAUUAAUUUGGUGUUACGGGGAAUUAGGACUGUUACCUUGAAAAAAUUAGAGUGUUUAAAGCAGGCUCACGCUUGAAUACAUUAGCAUGGAAUAAUGAAAUAGGACAUCCGAUUCUAUUUUGUUGGUUUCUAGGAUCGAUGUAAUGAUUAAUAGGGAUAGUUGGGGGCAUUAGUAUUCAAUUGUCAGAGGUGAAAUUCUUGGAUUUAUUGGAGACUAACUACUGCGAAAGCAUUUGCCAAGGAUGUUUUCAUUAAUCAAGAACGAAAGUUAGGGGAUCGAAGACGAUCAGAUACCGUCGUAGUCUUAACCAUAAACUAUGCCGACUAGGGAUCGGAUGAUGUUAAUUUUUUAAUGACUCAUUCGGCGCCUUACGGGAAACCAAAGUGU